rnacentral:snRNA from 1 species
GUGAUUGCUUCGGCAGCAUAUAUUCUAAAAUGGAACAAUACAGAGGUUCACAUGGCUCCUGCACAAGGAUGACACAGAUUUAUGAAGUGCAAGAAGAAGAA